rnacentral:lncRNA from 1 species
AUAAAAGCAAAUAAAUCCCCGCAUGAUUCUAGCCCUAUACAUGUAAACUAUAAUCUGUCAAAUAAUGUAUGCUAACUGUACAGAAUAAUAAAUGGAGAAAUAAGGAAACAAUUGUGGGCUAAAAUGAGGAAAGAAGUGUGAGCUAAAAUAAGGAAAGAAGUGUGGACAGCAAAGCUGUCCUUUGACAGCCCCCCUCAAAUUGAUGCAGGUUGAUCAACAAGCAUCAAUUUGCUACUUUGCAAGCAAUAUCGAUGAUGAGGUAGAGUAUUGGUGAAGAUAUCAGCAAUUUGUAAGUCAGUGGAAAUAUGUGGAAGAGUGAUAACACGAGCUUCAAAGGCUGCACGGAUAGAGUGACAGUCCACUUCAAUAUGCUUUGUGCGCUCAUGAUAGACAGGAUUGGCCGUGAUCUGAAUAACACUUGUAUUAUCAGCAUGUAGAGGUGUAGGAUCGGUCUCAGAAAAAUCUAACUUCACAAGCAAAGCUCGAAGCCAAAUGAUUUUAGAACAAGCAAGAGACAUCGCCCGGUACUCAGAUUCCAUAGAUGACUUAGAGAUUCUGUCUUGCUUCUUACUUUUCACAAACAUCUUAAACUAAAACUCCCAACGAAAAUAGUUUUUGCCAUUGAAACGAACAAUAGAAUAUUCUCCAGACAUUACGAAGACAGAAAUAGCUUAGGAAACAAAAAAAAACAUCGUCAAAGAGCCUAAAUCUGAUAACAAACCUCCAAAUAAUCGAAGAUCUCCAAGAGCCUAGAAGCGAAGAAACUCAAAGAAAACUCCAAGAUCACACCACAGAUGUGUUGUCACAACCACCAAAAAAAAAAAAAAAAAAAAAGAACCCAAAAGCUGGGCUAGAGUCCGAGAGCCGCUAGGGCUAGAUCCGAGAGCCGCUAGGGCUAGAUCCGAGAGCCGCUAGGGCUAGAUCCGAGAGCCGCUAGGGCUAGAUCCGAGAGCCGCUAGGGCUAGAUCCGAGAGCCCCUAGGGCUAAAUCCGAGAAAACCCAAAGAAAAACUAGAAAGCGUUUAAACUCUAGGUUCAAAACACAAGCUCUGAUACCAUGUCAAAAUAUUGUGUGAAUGGCCGAAUAUCUGGGCCUUGAGUUUUAUAUAUUAUAUAGAGACUUUACAAAGAUGCUAUACAUGGAAAGCAAAUAAAAGCAAAUAAAUCCCCGCAUGAUUCUAGCCCUAUACAUGUAAACUAUAAUCUGUCAAAUAAUGUAUGCUAACUGUACAGAAUAAUAAAUGGAGAAAUAAGAAAACAAUUGUGAGCUAAAAUGAGGAAAGAAGUGUGGACAGCAAAGCUGUCCUUUGACAAAAAUUCCUAGAUUAGUCACUUGGAAUGGAUUUUAUGGUUACCACUGGAUGGCUAAAUGGAAAGGAAGAGAGCCAAUGGUCCUAUUCGAGAACACCACACCCAUGUUGUCAAAGGCAUACCUGAAAGAUUGAAGCUUAAGCAUAAUUUUGUUGCAACGAGUAUUAGGGAAGUUUAUUUGAAUAAUUUAAAUUUUGGCCUUGAAGAUGAUGAUGAAUGAAAACUUUUACUUAGUAUAUUGGUUUUUCUUUUUAGGAACGAGACUUGAUUUGCUUAAUUAGUUUUCCUUUUCUUUUUUACUCCCUUUAUGAUAGGGGAUAAAGAUAGAUUUGGAAAGUUAGAUUCUUAUUAGAAUUGACAACUAUGCUA